rnacentral:lncRNA from 1 species
GGCUCAUUCUUACUUUUUAAGAGUUCGAGCUUUUGGGAUUAAUGAUUAGCACCAAACUAUCCGACAAACAGUACUCAAUAUCCAUGAUCAAAAUACAUAACCACCGAAAAAACAUUCGAAAUCAAAACAGUGCAUCCAAUAGCCUAUUUAUUUAUUGGAAAAACUUCAAAAACCCCCUCUGUGGUUUCGUAGUUUCUCACUUUGCCCCCCUGUGGUUUAAAGUGUAUCAAUUUGCCCCCUGUGGUUUCGUUUUUAUCUUUUCGGUAGCUUUUUCGUUAAUAUUUCAUUAAAUUAUAUACAAAAAACUUCAGAUAUCCAUUUAGAUUUAUCAAAUAUUCACUUUAGUACCCUUUAAUUUUAACCUUAUUACUGAUUUAAGAAAAAAAAUAAUAAUAAAAUUGAUAAGAAAAAGAGAAAAAUAAAACCACAGGGGGGCAAAUUGAU